rnacentral:misc_RNA from 1 species
GAUGAAGAACGUAGCGAAAUGCGAUAAGUAAUGUGAAUUGCAGAAUUCAGUGAAUCAUCGAAUCUUUGAACGCUCAUUGCGCCCCUUGGUAUUCCAUGGGGCAUGCCUGUUCGAGCGUCAUUUGUACCUUCAAGCUCUGCUUGGUGUUGGGUGUUUGUCUCGCCUCUGCGUGUAGACUCGCCUUAAAACAAUUGGCAGCCGGCGUAUUGAUUUCGGAGCGCAGUACAUCUCGCGCUUUGCACUCAUAACGACGACGUCCAAAAGUACAUUUUUACACUCUUGACCUCGGAUCAGGUAGGGAUACCCGCUGAACUUAAGCAUAUCAAUAAGCGGAGGA